GAUUAACGCUAGCGGCAGGCAUAAUACAUGCAAGUUGAACGGCAGCACAGGUAGCAAUACUGGGUGGCGAGUGGCGCACGGGUGCGUAACACGUAUGCAACCUACCCUAUACAGGCGAAUAACCUUUAGAAAUGAGGGCUAAUACGCCGUAGUAUUACAGAUGGGCAUCUAUUUGUAAUUAAAGAUUUAUCGGUAUAGGAUGGGCAUGCGUCCCAUUAGUUAGUUGGUAAGGUAACGGCUUACCAAGACGAUGAUGGGUAGGGGAUCUGAGAGGACUUACCCCCACACUGGUACUGAGACACGGACCAGACUCCUACGGGAGGCAGCAGUAAGGAAUAUUGGGCAAUGGCCGCGAGGCUGACCCAGCCAUGCCGCGUGCAGGAAGACGGCCUUAUGGGUUGUAAACUGCUUUUAUAUGGGAAUAAUAGAGUGUACGCGUACAUUUAUGCAAGUAUCGUAUGAAUAAGCAUCGGCUAACUCCGUG
rnacentral:rRNA from 1 species